rnacentral:rRNA from 1 species
UACGGGGGGAGCAAGCGUUGUUCGGAUUUACUGGGCGUAAAGGGCGCGUAGGCGGCCAGCACAAGUCAGUUGUGAAAUCUCCGAGCUUAACUCGGAAAGGUCAACUGAUACUGUGCGGCUAGAGUGCGGAAGGGGCAACUGGAAUUCUUGGUGUAGCGGUGAAAUGCGUAGAUAUCAAGAGGAACACCUGCGGCGAAGGCGGGUUGCUGGGCCGACACUGACGCUGAGGAGCGAAAGCGUGGGGAGCGAACAGG